GACGAACGCUGGCGGCGUGCUUAACACAUGCAAGUCGAACGGAAAGGCCCUGCUUUUGUGGGGUGCUCGAGUGGCGAACGGGUGAGUAACACGUGAGUAACCUGCCCUUGACUUUGGGAUAACUUCAGGAAACUGGGGCUAAUACCGGAUAGGAGCUCCUGCUGCAUGGUGAGGGUUGGAAAGUUUCGGCGGUUGGGGAUGGACUCGCGGCUUAUCAGCUUGUUGGUGGGGUAGUGGCUUACCAAGGCUUUGACGGGUAGCCGGCCUGAGAGGGUGACCGGCCACAUUGGGACUGAGAUACGGCCCAGAAUCCUACGGGAGGCAGCAGUGGGGAAUAGUGGACAAUGGGCGGAAGCCUGAUGCAGCAACGGCGCGUGCGGGAUGAAGGCCUUCGGGUUGUAAACCGCUUUCGCCUGUGACGAAGCGUGAGUGACGGUAAUGGGUAAAGAAGCACCGGCUAACUACGUG
rnacentral:rRNA from 1 species